AAGACAGUGAUGCACUCCAACCCAAUGUGAACGUUACCAAACUGUUGCCUCGGCGGGAUCUCUGCCCCGGGUGCGUCGCAGCCCCGGACCAAGGCGCCCGCCGGAGGACCAACCAAAACUCUUAUUGUAUACCCCCUCGCGGGUUUUUUACUAUCUGAGCCAUCUCGGCGCCCCUCGUGGGCGUUUCGAAAAUGAAUCAAAACUUUCAACAACGGAUCUCUUGGUUCUGGCAUCGAUGAAGAACGCAGCGAAAUGCGAUAAGUAAUGUGAAUUGCAGAAUUCAGUGAAUCAUCGAAUCUUUGAACGCACAUUGCGCCCGCCAGUAUUCUGGCGGGCAUGCCUGUCCGAGCGUCAUUUCAACCCUCGAACCCCUCCGGGGGGUCGGCGUUGGGGAUCGGCCCUUUACGGGGCCGGCCCCGAAAUACAGUGGCGGUCUCGCCGCAGCCUCUCCUGCGCAGUAGUUUGCACACUCGCAUCGGGAGCGCGGCGCGUCCACAGCCGUUAAACACCCCAAACUUCUGAAAUGUUGACCUCGGAUCAGGUAGGAAUACCCGCUGAACUUAAGCAUAUCAAUAAGCGGAGGAAAAGAAACCAACAGGGAUUGCCCCAGUAACGGCGAGUGAAGCGGCAACAGCUCAAAUUUGAAAUCUGGCCCCUCGGGGUCCGAGUUGUAAUUUGUAGAGGAUGCUUUUGGUGAGGUGCCGCCCGAGUUCCCUGGAACGGGACGCCACAGAGGGUGAGAGCCCCGUCUGGCUGGCCACCGAGCCUCUGUAAAGCUCCUUCGACGAGUCGAGUAGUUUGGGAAUGCUGCUCAAAAUGGGAGGUAUAUGUCUUCUAAAGCUAAAUAUUGGCCAGAGACCGAUAGCGCACAAGUAGAGUGAUCGAAAGAUGAAAAGCACCUUGAAAAGAGGGUUAAUAUACUGAGUGUUUGGGAGAGAGGAGAAGGAAAACCCAAGGGAUUUCAAAAGUGAAUAAAAU
rnacentral:rRNA from 1 species